rnacentral:rRNA from 1 species
GACGAACCGUGCAAACGUUAUUCGGAAUCACUGGGCUUAAAGGGCGCGUAGGCGGGCCGCCCGGUCCGGGGUGAAAGCCUCCAGCUCAACUGGAGAAGUGCCUUGGAUACCGGCGGCCUCGAGGGAGGUAGGGGCGUGCGGAACUUCGGGUGGAGCGGUGAAAUGCGUAGAUAUCCGAAGGAACACCGGUGGCGAAAGCGGCGCGCUGGAUCUCUUCUGACGCUGAGGCGCGAAAGCCAGGGGAGCAAACGGG